CGGGAUCCAGCUUCUGACGCACUGACGGACGAAUUCCAAGUAGGUGCAAGUCAUCAUCUUGCUCCGAUUACGUCCCCGCCCUUUGUACACACCGCCCGUCGCUCCUACCGAUUGAAUAAUCCGAUGAGGAUUCAAGAUAGAGAUUUUUAAUUUGUCUGAAAGGAUAAAAUAAGAUUUUUUUAGAAUUUGUUCAAAUCUUAUUAUUUAGAGGAAGGAGGACUGCGUCAGAAGCUGGAUCCCG
rnacentral:rRNA from 1 species